GUAAAGCACUUUCAGUAGGGAGGAAGGUAGUGUAGUUAACACCUGCACUAUUUGACGUUACCUACAGAAGAAGCACCGGCUAACUCCGUGCCAGCAGCCGCGGUAAUACGGAGGGUGCGAGCGUUAAUCGGAAUUACUGGGCGUAAAGCGCAUGCAGGCGGCCUGUUAAGUCAGAUGUGAAAGACCCGGGGCGUUAACCUCGGAAUUGCAUUUGUAAACUAGGCAGGCUAGAGUCUUGUAGAGGGGGGUAGGAAGUUUCAGGUGUAGCGGUGAAAUAGCGUAGAGAUCUGAAGGAAUACCAGUGGCGAAGGCGGCCCCCUCGGACAAAGACUGACGCUCAGAUGCGAAAGCGUGGGGAGCAAACAGGAUUAGAUACCCUGGUAG
rnacentral:rRNA from 1 species